rnacentral:rRNA from 1 species
GCUCCUACGGGGCGCAGCAGUGGGGGAUAUUGCACAAUGGGGGCAACCCUGAUGCAGCGACGCCGCGUGAGCGAUGGAGUACUUCGGUAUGUAAAGCUCUGUCAGCAGGGAAGAGAAUGACGGUACCUGACCAAGAAGCCCCGGCUAAAUACGUGCCAGCAGCCGCGGUAAUACGUAGGGGGCAAGCGUUAUCCGGAAUUACUGGGUGUAAAGGGAGCGUAGACGGUGAUGCAAGUCUGGAGUGAAAGGCGGGGGCCCAACCCCCGGACUGCUCUGGAAACUGUGUAACUUGAGUGCAGGAGAGG